rnacentral:rRNA from 1 species
AACGAACGCUGGCGGCAUGCCUAACACAUGCAAGUCGAACGAGACCUUCGGGUCUAGUGGCGCACGGGGUCGUAACGCGUGGGAACCUGCACUUAGGUUCAGAAUAACUCCCCGAAAGGGGUACUAAUACCGGAUAAUGUCUUCGGACCAAAGAUUUAUCGCGUUUGGUUGGGCCCGCGUUGGAUUCGCUAGUUGGUAGGGUAAAAGCAUCACAAGGCGACGAUCCAUAGCUGGUCUGAGAGGAUGAUCAGCCACACUGGGACUGAGACACGGCCCAGAAUCCUACGGGAGGGAGCAGUGGGUAAUAGAGGACAAUGGGGGAAAGCCUGAUCCAGCACUGCUGCGUGAGUGAUGAAGGUCGUAGGGUUGUAAUGUUCUUUUACCCGGGAUGAUAAUGACAGUACCGGGUGAAUAAGCUCCGGCUAACUACGUG